rnacentral:rRNA from 1 species
UACGAAGGGGGCUAGCGUUGUUCGGAAUUACUGGGCGUAAAGCGCACGUAGGCGGACUACUAAGUCAGGGGUGAAAUCCCGGGGCUCAACCCCGGAACUGCCUUCGAUACUGAUAGUCUCGAGUCCGGAAGAGGUGAGUGGAAUUCCGAGUGUAGAGGUGAAAUUCGUAGAUAUUCGGAGGAACACCAGUGGCGAAGGCGGCUCACUGGUCCGGUACUGACGCUGAGGUGCGAAAGCGUGGGGAGCAAACAGG